AGCUGCAGAAGGCAUCUGAGAAGAGCUUCACAACUGCUUAGUGUCUCUUCGCCAUUUGUUCCUUGUCAUCAUUCUUGUUUCCAUAACAGACUUUCGUGAGGCAAAUUACUGUAGGAUGGUAAUGUUCCAAUAACUCUGUGACAUAAAAUCUGAGAAGCACAAAGCAGGAAACACAGCCUCUGUGUUUGUGGUCUUCCAGCAUCCGCCUUGCCCUUCUGGCACAGCUGCCGCUCCAUCUUUGCCAUGCCCUCAGCACAAGCUCUUCUGCUGUAAUGAUGCCAUCCCAUGACCACCAUCAGGCAUUGGAGAGAAGUCUUGUAGAUGUGAGAUCUGCAUAG
rnacentral:lncRNA from 1 species